CCUACGGGAGGCUGCAGUGAGGCAUAUUGGUCAAUGGGCGCGAGCCUGAACCAGCCAAGUAGCGUGAGGGAGGACGGCCCUACGGGUUGUCAACCUCUUUUGCCGGGGAGCAACGGGCGUCACGUGUGGCGCCCCUGAGAGUACCCGGAGAAAACGCAUCGGCUAACUCCGUGCCAGCAGCCGCGGUAAUACGGUGGCUGCGAGCGUUCUCCGGAUUUUUUGGGUUUAAAGGGUGCGUAGGCGGAUCGUUAAGUCAGGGGUCAAAUUGAGGGGCUCAACCCCUUCCCGCCAUUGAAACUGGCGCUCUUGAGUGGAAGAGAAGUAUGCGGAAUGCGUGGUGUAGCGGUGAAAUGCAUAGAUAUCACGCAGAACCCCGAUUGCGAAGGCAGCAUGCCGGCUUCCGACUGACGCUGAAGCACGAAAGCGUGGGGAUCGAACAGGAUUAGAUACCCGUGUAGUC
rnacentral:rRNA from 1 species